UAAGGUAAGAGAGUCAAAUGUUCGAUAUCUCCUAAGGUUUAGGUUUGUUAUAUUAUUAGGUGAAAUAAAAAUACAUUAAAUAAAUUUUCUAAAGAUAGUCCAAACUUAAAAAAAUCACACGUAAAAUAAGUUGUUACUCCUGUUUUAAUAUAUAAGAUUGAUUAAUCGAAUCAAGCGAACGCCGGCUCUUAGUCUUAGUUUAUAAAGACCACAUGGUUUCUUCGUUAAAAAUAUAUAUAUAUAUU
rnacentral:lncRNA from 1 species